UACGUAGGGUGCGAGCGUUGUCCGGAAUCAUUGGGCGUAAAGCGCACGUAGGCGGCCUGAUAAGUCGGAUGUGAAAUCCCUCGGCUCAACUGAGGACGUGCAUUCGAAACUGCCAGGCUCGAGUAUGGAAGAGGGUCGCGGAAUUCCCGGUGUAGAGGUGAAAUUCGUAGAUAUCGGGAGGAACACCAGUGGCGAAGGCGGCGACCUGGGCCAAUACUGACGCUGAGGUGCGAAAGCGUGGGGAGCAAACAGG
rnacentral:rRNA from 1 species